AUACGGAUGGUGCAAGCGUUGUCCGGAUUUAUUGGGUUUAAAGGGUGCGUAGGUGGCGUGUUAAGUCAGUGGUGAAAGCCUGCAGCUCAACUGUAGAGGUGCCAUUGAUACUGACAUGCUUGAGUAUGGACGAGGUAGGCGGAAUUUGUGGUGUAGCGGUGAAAUGCAUAGAUACCACAAAGAACACCGAUAGCGAAGGCAGCUUACUGGACCAUAACUGACACUGAGGCACGAAAGUGUGGGUAGCGAACAGGAUUAGAAACCCCAGUAGUCC
rnacentral:rRNA from 1 species